rnacentral:rRNA from 1 species
GAUUAACGCUGGCGGCGUGCCUAACACAUGCAAGUCGAACGAAGUGGCGGACGGGUUAGUCACGCGUGAGUAACCUGCCUUAGAGAAGGGGAUAGCCUUUGGACACGAAGAAUAAUACCCUAUGCUCUAAGAUGGACUUGCGUCUUAUUAGUUAGUUGGUGGGGUAACGGCCCACCAAGACAGCGAUCAGUAGCCGGCUUGGGAAAGUGUACGGCAACAUUGUGGCUGAGACACGGCCCAGACUCUACGGGAGGCAGCAGUGGGGAAUUAUGCACAAUGGGGGAAACACGGAUGCAGCGACGCCGCGUGAUUUAGAAGGCCGUCGGGUAGUAAAAAUCGUUUCUAUGGGAAGCAGUACCAUAGGAAUAAGGACCGGCUAAUUACGUGCCAGCAGCCGCGGUAAUAC